CCUACGGGGUGCUGCAGUGGGGAAUAUUGGACAAUGGGCGAAAGCCUGAUCCAGCCAUGCCGCGUGUGUGAAGAAGGCCUUCGGGUUGUAAAGCACUUUCAGUGGGGAAGAAAGCCUUGGGGCUAAUACCCUCGAGGAAGGACAUUACCCACAGAAGAAGCACCGGCUAACUCCGUGCCAGCAGCCGCGGUAAUACGGAGGGUGCGAGCGUUAAUCGGAAUUACUGGGCGUAAAGCGCGCGUAGGCGGUCUGAUAAGCCGGUUGUGAAAGCCCCGGGCUCAACCUGGGAACGGCAUCCGGAACUGGCAGGCUAGAGUGCAGGAGAGGAAGGUAGAAUUCCCGGUGUAGCGGUGAAAUGCGUAGAGAUCGGGAGGAAUACCAGUGGCGAAGGCGGCCUUCUGGACUGACACUGACGCUGAGGUGCGAAAGCGUGGGUAGCAAACAGGAUUAGAUACCCGAGUAGUC
rnacentral:rRNA from 1 species